rnacentral:tRNA from 1 species
CUAAGGAUGAUCCUUCAGAGAGCUCACGCUCACUAUCGGAUCGUUUUAGAAACAUCGCGGGGCCAAUCGAUCGCCAGAUCGCUUGAGCUCCAUAGGCGGGAUUUCGCCGUCUUCGUUUCUCUUUCUUCGCGGACGAACACGCGCCAGGGGCUUGAGCGCUGUGCGAAGCAUCGGCGAGAGCCGGUUCGCGCGAGCGGGUUCCUAAUCCUUUGCGGGAUGAGCGUUAGGGGCUUGUAGCUCAGUUGGUUAGAGCGCGCGCUUGAUAAGCGUGAGGUCGGAAGUUCAAGUCUUCCCAGGCCCACCACUUUCAUCGAGUGAGCAUUCGUCUUCUGGUUAUGGGGCCUAGCUCAGCUGGGAGAGCGCGUGCUUUGCAAGCAUGAGGUCGUCGGUUCGAUCCCGUCUGGCUCCACCAGAUGGUUUGAUUGCCGGUGCCUCAACCGUCGUCCGCGAAACAUCAAUUCGCACACGCAGUCCGGAUGGACGUGAUGUGCGUGUUAUCUGACAUCGUAAAGAGGAGAUCGAUCCAAGUUUGGGAUCUGCGGAGCAAUUCGCAGGUGCUCAUUCACUAUCUCCAGAUCAUUUUCGGCGCUCGUUCAUCGCGUGAUGAGCGGGUUGUAAAAUGAUCCUUGUUAGCGAAGCUUGACCGCCUCGCUAUUGGUUCGAUCUUACGAAGCAAGCUGGUCUUUCUAGUCAAUGUCCGGCCGCGCAAGCAGCAUUCAUCGAGGGUGCGCGCUUUGAGAUUUCGGUCUCAAUGCGAUUGGCGGCAUACAUUCUGCCGAGUGUGUGGACAUUGAUAAUGAGAGC